UCACAAUGAAUCUGAGUAGUAGAUAUAGCAUGCCCAUUUUCCAGGUAAGGAAACUGAGGGUUAGAGAGAUUCUGUAACUUGUGCAAGGUUAUAGGCUCUAAGUAGCAGAUUAGUUCUGACUGGAGGCCAGCGUUUCCUCGGGCCUCUGUGACAUCACAACGCAAUGGGAGUAUGACUUGGGCAGCUCCAGCUGGCUCCUCUGCUAGUCUUGCCGCAGUCACCAGUUUUGGAGGAAUGGGAGAGGAGCUUUCCACUCCUCUGAGAGUCAUGUCGAGAGUCUGUCUUAGCCCUCGACCCCUCAGUCUUUGUAGAUCUCAUCCCAGAACCCCGAGGGAGAGGUAAUUGCUGAAGGAUUUUUGCUUCAAACAGGCUCUUGUUUGCAUCAAGUGUGGGGUGCAGCAAAGUGGACUCGGGACUGGCCGAUGUCUGGCCAGAAAUGCCAGGCAAGGGAAACAGUGACUCUAGUGGGGUCAGGAGAGGGGCAUCUGCUGGCCCAGGAGCGCAAGGCAGAGGGGUGAGGCGACUCUGAGGCAGGAGGUCCAAGUUUGCUGGACAAUGGCAGAAACAGAAUUCAAACACCUGUCUUCUAGGAGAAGUUCUGGUCUCUCCUCGGUGCUGCGGCUGCCCCGGGAAGAGUUUCCAGGAGCUGACAAGCAUUCAGAUGAGUAAAGAUGGGAUCGGAUUGAGAAAAGGAGAAGGGAGAGCAUAUUCGUUCUCUUUCCACCUCCCUCCCACAGCCUUUCAUGCUGAUCUCAUCUGACGAAGCUGCCUCCUCCUCCCUGGACUCUACAAGCCCCUGUCAUGAUGUUUCUCAGAUCCUGAAUUCCAGCGAAACAGAUGAUACUAACAAGUUUGAAGACCCCCACAGAGGAAUGGAAUCAGUAUGAGAACACAGUUUCUUCAUCUCCCUGUCCCAGAACUUCACCCUGGACUCCUCGACCAAUCAACAAUCUCCACACUUCGGCCCACUCCAAAACUCCUAAAAUCCCAAGCUCCAAACUCCUCUGGGAGAUGGAUUUGAGGCUUCCUCCCGUUUCCUUGUGUGGAAGCCCUGUCAUUAAACCUCUUUCUCUGCUGCAACCUGAUG
rnacentral:lncRNA from 1 species